UUUUGCAUCGGUGUUGCCGAAUCCAUCAUUUCCACUGCUUGCUUAUUGUGUUUCUGAAACGCUCAAAAUAUCCCAAAUAACUUCGUAUGAUCCAGAAGGAACUUCUCUCUCUGGCUGGAGGUUGGUGCCACCAGAACUGAGAACAACAUGCAUUUUCCAGGAUUGCUUUAUAGAAUCUCAGUGCAGAGAAGUGCAUGCUGUGAUGACGUCUGACAUCGUUCAGUGGCAUUCACUGUCCACACCAAGCGGGAAUGGAAAGUUUCUUGCCCUGUUCCCCUCCUGCUCCCCAGCAUUAGCUCACCAUUGCGGCGGGGCUGGGCAAACCACUUUGCAUUUGCCUCCAUCCGGAGUCCGGGUCAUUGGGAAAUGCUAAUCCUUAACAAAAAGGAAAUGAUAAAAAUACCCAUGAAAUUAAUUUUCACACCUGCAGUCGAGAUUAAUAACAGCAACCAGAGUGGCAUCCUAUUUCAGCUUCCUGGAGGUGACUAAGAGCCCCGGCCAUGAAUAUCAUACCAACCACCAGAGGAAUUCACUGUCUGAGGGAUCCACCAUGGCAAACAAUUGAUCCCCAGAGCUCCGCCUGCACAAUGGAAAACGGCUUUAGUCAUGUAUUAGUCAUUUUAUCACAAGAUGGUAUUUCUGCACUGGGAGGUUUGCCCUCUGAGCCCAGAACAGAAGAACAGCAUUUGGCUUGGUAAUUUACACAAAGGUUUUCAUCAUGUUUUCUUUAGAAGGAUGUGCGUAAAUGAUGAAGAGCAAUAAACUCAGUCUUCUACAGGUUAAUUCAUGCCAGUUUCAUGUGCGCUUAUUACCUUCUGUGCUUUGAAUCGGUCCUGCACGUCCCUGUGAGUGGCACUGCUAAUUCACUGAGCUCUCACAACCAGCUUUGCUCACGCAAUGCAAAAAGCCGUUGCCUGUGCCCCAGGAGUGCAGAGUGCAAGCACAUUUGCACGAGGUCUUCAGCAAUCGUGGAGCUUAUUUAUUUGCACAGCACCGGAAUGAGACAGAGAGAACUGGAGACGCAGAAUUGUUUCUCUGUGGUUUGCACUGAGAUUUUAGCUGCAGCUCUUUCCUCUCCCUUUGGAGCAUUUGCUGCUGUAGUGCAGCUUGUGUUAUUCCCUGCGGAGCAGGAGACGGGGAGGGCAGUUCUCUCUUUAUUCUUUCCUGCCCCCUCUAUGGAUUUGCACUUUUAUAGCUGUUCAGGUAACUGCUACACUACUUACAGCAGUGGCAGGCUGGCUCUUUUUGGUGUCAGUUUGGCUCCAGCAGGUUUAGAUUCCAUCUCCUGCAGUCUCCUCCAGCAGCGAUUGUCUUUUUUUAAUCUACCUGAAAUUCAAGGUUCAGCUUCAAGCCGAUUCCAGCAGCACGUGGCUGUGUCCUUUUGCAACUGA
rnacentral:lncRNA from 1 species